CACGCCGUAAACGUUGAGAACUAAGUGUUGGGGAGACCCAGUGCUGAAGCUAACGCAUUAAGUUCUCCGCCUGAGGAGUCCGCACGCAAGUGUAAAACUUAAAGGAAUUGACGGGGGCCCGCACAAGCAGUGGAGCAUGUGGUUUAAUUCGAGGCUACGCGAAGAACCUUACCAGGGCUUGACAGGAAACUUAAGACCAUAGAGAUAGGGGGAGAAUAAGUGAAACAGGUGG
rnacentral:rRNA from 1 species